UUUUUUAAUUGAAAGCUUGUAUGAARRGUUGGAUGAGAAAAUAGCUGUCUCUAUUUAAAUUUAUUAGAAUUUUAUUUUUAAGUUAAAAAGCUUAAAUAUUCGUAAAAGACGAGAAGACCCUAUAGAGUUUUAUACUUCAGAUAGUUAAAAUUUUUAGUAUUUUAAUUUUUUCUUUAAUGAAGUAUUUAAUUGGGGUGAUUGAGAAAUUAAAUAAACUUUCUAUUUAUUAAUACAUUGAUAUAUGAUUAAUUGAUCCUUAUUUAAAGAUUAAAAGAUAAAAUUACCUUAGGGAUAACAGCGUAAUUCUUCUUAAGAGUUCUAAUCGAUAGAAGAGAUUGCGACCUCGAUGUUGGAUUAAAAUAUAAUUUUGGUGUAGAAGCUAAAAAUUUAGGUCUGUUCGACCUUUGAUAUUUUACAUGAUCUGAGUUUAAACCGGUGUGAGCCAGGU
rnacentral:rRNA from 1 species